CGCUCAACGGAACCCACUGGAUAUGUGGAACCAACCUGUGGCCCUGGCUUCCUCCAGGGUGGAUAGGUCGCUGUACUUUAGGAUUUGCCUGGAUCCAUGGGCGCAUUACUAAAACCAUUACAACUCCAGCUAAUCUCCCCAACUUGAAACAAAGAUGGACACAAUCUGUUUUUAAAUGGUAUGAUCACUUAGCAUCCAUUUUUGUUCCAUCUGCGGGACUAGAGGAUGUCAUGUGGCAUGUAGAAGCCCUUAAUAAAUAUACUACAAAGGCCCUACAAGAUCCUUCUUUCUCUUUUAGUGAUUGGUUAAGUUCCUGGCUUGGAGGAGGGCUAUGGCAAAAUUUCCUUUUCGGGCUUCUUAUUCUUAUCGCCUUAUUAAUCUUAAUAUGUUGCUUUGUUCCAUGUUUCUCUACUUGGUGCCGAGACUCCAUUGCUACAAUGACUACACCACAGCAGACGAUCCUUGUCGCGCGCGAGGACGCCUCUUCACUGUCAGCGCUGGAUUCAGCUGCCUCCACCUUUCGUAACUCCCCUAUACGUUCCUACCCUGAUCAAUAUUGACCCGAGCAGGUAGGGACAGCUCUACGCCCCUAUUCAGCACGAAGAAGUUACAGAAGAUGAGACCUUCCACCUUCAACCACCUUAAAGAUUUAAGGGUCAAAAUUGUUCAGGGGGGAAUGAUGAGGGAGCAGGAGGCUGGCUGAGGACAAAGCAAAAGCUGGCGCCUUGCACCCCCUCUUCACCCACUCCCCUCCAUAUGUGUAGCAUUCCUCAGGCACCCCUGACUUCCAUAAAACGAUAAAUAGUUAACUUGCAGGGAUCGCAAUCCUGCAGAACAGGAAUAUCCCUUGUCCUACAAGAUGUCCUAGAGACCUAAACAGGGAGGUUACCUUAUCAAUAGCACAAAUUUCCAGAGGCAAAUAACUCUUGGUUCCUGAAGCCCUAAUGUCCCCC
rnacentral:lncRNA from 1 species